rnacentral:tRNA from 1 species
GCCCUCGUAGCCCAAUUGGAAGUGGCGGGACCCUUAAAAUGUCUGUCAGUUGUGGGUUCGACUCCCUCCGGGGGCACCA